rnacentral:tRNA from 1 species
ACUUAAAUAAUUUAAAUAAAAUAUUGGUUUGUGGAGUCAAAAAUAUGAAUCUUUCAUUUUAAGUU